CUAUGAGUCGACCUCUGUUGAUGUAUAUGCCAAAAUUUUAGAACAGAUAUUAUCUGUUCUGUGCCACAGAAGUCGACCCCAUAAGUCGACCCAUGUGCAUGAGUCGACCUUAUGAGUCGAUCCCUGUGAUGGAAAAACUCUGCAAUGGCUAAUUUUUAGUUAUUUUGGCUACAUUUAAUGCUUAUUUAAUGAUUUCCAAUGGCUCUAUCUUAGCCC
rnacentral:lncRNA from 1 species